rfam:Enterococcus sp. 9E7_DIV0242 scaffold00001, whole genome shotgun sequence.
AUUUUCGGGUUACCGCGGUCUGAGUAAUCAGGCUGAGGAAAGUCCAUGCUCGCACAGACUGAGAUGUCUGUAGUGUUCGUGCUUAGCGAAACCAUAAGCUAAGGUACUCUUUCAGAGUAACGGCAGGAAAAAACGGCUAAGGCUUCGGCUAUGUCUGAGUAUCCUUGAAAGUGCCACAGUGACGAAGCAGUACGGGAAACCGUACUGGUGGAACGCGGUAAACCCCUCGAGCGAGCAACCCAAAUUUUGGUAGGGGCACUCUUCUAAAGGAAAUGAACGAGUAGGAGAGGCAGAAUACUUCUGCAGAUAGAUGGUAACCAUCAGUUUUUUUACCUGAGAAAAUUCUGAUACAGAACAUGGCUUAUAGAA